ensembl:lncRNA novel transcript, antisense to C7orf33 and CNTNAP2
GGUGAAGGGUGACCAGGUGUAGAUUUCAGGGAAAGGAGCAGGUUUUAGAAAGAAGGAUGAUGAGUCCCAUUUUGUAGAAAAUGUUGAGGUGCUUAUGAGAUGUCUAUUAGAGAAUUUGCUGUAUGAGUCAGAGGCUCAGGCAAAUUGGCUGACUGAAGCCAAUUUGAUUUUAAUAUCCCUUUAUAACAGUGGUUGACUAAACCUAGCUCACUGCCUGUUUUUAUAAAGUUUUAUUUAUACACAGCCAUAUGCAUUCAUUUACAAUUAAUUUUGGGAACUGCUUUAGCAGAGAAAACAAUGGAGUCAGCUUGUGUUGCAGGAAAAGGGAAAGGAAAGCAAGAGAGAAUAAGGGCUCCACUCUAUGGAAACACCAACAUUUAUGAGGCUGGACUUGGCUGGAACAAGAAUAAGACUCCUGAUGCUCGAACGGGAACCAGGAGGAAGAGUGCUAUUUAGUGUCCCCAAGGCCAAGGUUGUAUCUGUUUGCUCGGGAUGCCAUAACAAAGGACCACAGACUGGGGGGUUUAAACAGCAGAAGUUUACUUUCUCACAGUACUGGAGGCUGGAAGUCUGAGGUCAAGGUGCUGGCGGUGUCGGUUUCUCCUGAGCCCUCUCUCUUUUGCCGUCCGCUGUGUGGCUGUGGUCUUUAAGUUGGAGUCUGUGGAGACAAAGAGGGAGGUCUUGCUGUGCCUGACCCUCUGGGAUGUGUUACCACCCACGCCGACCUGCUCUCUGCGGCUUUCUGACAGCACCUCACAGCCCUGGAACUGGAAAUGUGGCUCUCACUGAAGCUGCCCAGAGAGAGGGUCUCUCAGUGAAGACCCCCUGUUGUCAGCUGGGGCAGCCGGAAAGAAAGACUGGGAAUUCUCUUCACACAGGAUUUGAUAUGCUUGGUGGCUCCAGAAAAAUGCAAGUGUGCACAUUCAUCCACUUGACAAAGGGUGACUUAACUGUCAGUGUCCUGUGGAUUCAAACUGAAAGGGUUUGGGCGAAAGAAAGAAGAAGGUGGGACUGCGAAUAAAUUGAAAACAGCAUUUUGGAGGCAACAGCUGUGAAACAGAAGGGAAGGAAAAUUUAUGACCAUAUACAUUUCAGUAGGAAUUUAUAACUUUUUAUGAACAUUAUCUUAAAGUUAGUCUCUAGACAUAGGUCUAAAAAUAAAAUUAUGCUGAACUGUGUACCCAGAGAAUGGUAAAUGGGAAUAACGUUCUUGAAAGGGAUGACGUAGGUCCAGGGAAAGGUCACAUUGAAUAAUCAAGGUCGGUGAAGGUCAAAAUCACAAAGAAGGACCCUGCAUUCACUCCUGUCCUGAUGGCAGCUUCAGUGGAAACCCUUGGCCAUCGCUUUGCCUCUCCAAGCAUUCGAGAAAGACCGUCUGGUGCCAUAUUGUCUUCUGGGGACAGCUGAUCACCUGGGGAGAGCUGCAUCGUGCUCCUACCCGUGUCAGAUCUGGGCAGAGGACAGACAAAAGUCCUCUGGAGUUUUCCGCAGUGAGAGUCACAGAAGUUCAUCUAAGGAAUUGGAGCCAAGGUUAGAAACUUCUCUGGAGAUGUUCUAGUUUUGUUUGCUAGCUCGGCAGCUGCGUAAUGACACUCCCUCCAGCAGGGCACAUAGUUCACUUCAAAUGACAAAUGGUGGGACCUUAGUAUUUUUCACUGUCGGUUAAUUAUCAGAAAUAGAUUUGUUGCUAUCUAGAUACCAGCCAUUUGUCCAAAUUACUAGGAUAAGAUUCCCAAGAAAGCCUGAAAUCAGAUAGCUUUCUCCUCCUUAUUUUAAAAUAAACAGAAAUAAAAUUAUUCUGCUAC